rnacentral:rRNA from 1 species
UACAGAGGGGGCAAGCGUUGUUCGGAAUUACUGGGCGUAAAGGGCGCGUAGGCGGCCUGUUAAGUCGGACGUGAAAUCCCUCGGCUCAACCGGGGAACUGCGUCCGAUACUGGCGGGCUUGAAUUCGGGAGAGGGAUGUGGAAUUCCAGGUGUAGCGGUGAAAUGCGUAGAUAUCUGGAGGAAUACCGAUGGCGAAGGCAGGUCUCUGGGCUGACACUGACGCUCAUGCACGAAAGCGUGGGGAGCAAACGGG